GACAGAGGCCCCAAGCGUUUAGGCGGAAUCACUGGGCUUAAAGCGUGUGUAGGCGGACGCCUAAGUGUCUUGUGAAAUCCCACGGCUCACCCGUGGAACUGCUGGGCAUACGUGGGCGUCUUGGGCCAACUAGGGGCAUGUGGAACUUCCGGUGGAGCGGUGAAAUGCGUAGAUAUCGGAAGGAACGCCGGUGGCGAAAGCGACGUGCUGGACCUCUUCUGACGCUGAGGCGCGAAAGCCAGGGGAGCAAACGGG
rnacentral:rRNA from 1 species